rnacentral:rRNA from 1 species
UACGAAGGUCCCAAGCGUUAUCCGGAUUUAUUGGGUUUAAAGGGUGCGUAGGCGGACUGUUAAGUCAGUGGUGAAAGCUCCAUGCCUAACAUGGAAAUUGCCAUUGAUACUGACGGUCUUGAGUACAUUUGAAGUGGGCGGAAUGUGUCAUGUAGCGGUGAAAUGCUUAGAUAUGACAUAGAACACCAAUUGCGAAGGCAGCUAGCUACAGGGAUAUUGACACUGAGGCACGAAAGCGUGGGGAUCAAACAGG